rnacentral:rRNA from 1 species
ACUCCUACGGGAGGCAGCAGUGGGGAAUUUUGGACAAUGGGCGAAAGCCUGAUCCAGCAAUGCCGCGUGAGUGAAGAAGGCCUUCGGGUUGUAAAGCUCUUUUGUCAGGGAAGAAACGGUGAAAGCUAAUAUCUUUUGCUAAUGACGGUACCUGAAGAAUAAGCACCGGCUAACUACGUGCCAGCAGCCGCGGUAAUACGUAGGGUGCAAGCGUUAAUCGGAAUUACUGGGCGUAAAGCGUGCGCAGGCGGUUUUGUAAGUCUGAUGUGAAAUCCCCGGGCUCAACCUGGGAAUUGCAUUGGAGACUGCAAGGCUAGAAUCUGGCAGAGGGGGGUAGAAGUCCACGUGUAGCAGUGAAAUGCGUAGAUAUGUGGAGGAACACCGAUGGCGAAGGCAGCCCCCUGGGUCAAGAUUGACGCUCAUGCACGAAAGCGUGGGGAGCAAACAGGAUUAGAUACCCUGGUAGUCCCA